rnacentral:rRNA from 1 species
ACGGAGGAUCCAAGCGUUAUCCGGAUUUAUUGGGUUUAAAGGGCGCGUAGGCGGACUCGUUAGUCUGUGGUGAAAGUUUGUAGCUCAACUGUAAAAUUGCUAUUAAAACUGUGAAUCUUGAAUGUAGAUGAGGUAGACGGAAUUUGUUGUGUAGCGGUGAAAUGCUUAGAUAUAACACAGAACACCGAUUGCGAAGGCAGCUUACUGGAAUACAACUGACGCUGAGGCGCGAAAGCGUGGGGAUCAAACAG